GAAACAGUAUUGUUGUUGCUUUAAUGUAGACUUCUAGAUUCGGCUUUGAAAGGAGGCUGAUUUACUAAGUCUGCAAAGAGUUCUAAGCAUCUUUACUUUUAAUCAUCAGUCCAGAUGAUUUUGAUAUAGGGGGCCAUGGCCCAUGAUCCCCACUGAUUUUGAUGGCUAUUACUUAUGUUGAAGAUUUUGUUAUCAGCCGCCGAAAUUUCUCAAUUUCAGUCAUUUUAGGCCCACUUAUUUUUUUCUAUCAUUACAAGAUUAUCAGACACUGAAUUUCAAAAAGCACAUUGUACAAAAGUCUCUCUUGACUCUUCUCCAGGUAAGAAGAAAAAGUUAGCACUACAAUGCUAUAGUCACAUUUAUGUUUUUGUUGUCACAUGCACUUCAUAUCUAAGACUCAGUGGGCCUCACCAAGAAACAAAAGAAUUUGCUCUAUCCUCAACGUUGCAAAAUGUCUGGGCAUAGGCUGUGUUGCAUUUCUCACGUACAGUAUGAGCAGAGAAGCUUACCCAUUCUGUUGCAGCAGGUCCAGAGAAGUUUCACUGAAGUGCUUUGGUUUUUAUUGAAUUGCAUGCUUAUUAUCUCUGGACAAGAAGAUGUGUACAUGAAGAGGAUGUUUUGAUAGGCCUGACCUGAGAGCUGUAUGCUCACAAUAAAAGCUAGAGACACAGUCAUUUGACAUUAAAACAACUGAGAAAAGAUGAUGAAUCUUGAGAAGAAAUUGGGAUAUUAUGUGCAAAAGAGGUGUUAUAAUACUUUAUGGCUAGCAAUGUUCCACCAUAAAGUUUAAAUGGAUCUUACUUUGGUUCAGACUUUAGAAACUGAUUGACAUCUGGGUUAUGUAUAUUUCACUUCCCAUGUUCUGCACGGUAAUCUUCUAAACUUUAGCAACUUAUCUUAUUAAUUCCUUUAGGCUUGAUAUGAAGCCUGCCCCAGAUAAGUGCCUCAUAAAAGAAGAAUAAACAAAUGAAUGAAUAAAAGCAAAUGCCAUACUAUAGACUUUUGAGUAAAAAGAUUUUCUCCACAACAUAUUAAAAGAAUGAACCAGCAGAACAAACCUCAAACUUUAAAACAAUGUUGUUUAAGUUAGUCAUGUCUGAGACGAUAAAUAAAUCAACAGGAGAAAAGUGAACUUCAAAACAUGUAUCUUUAGGAGGAUUUGAACUGGAAAACCACUGACACUUAAUUGCUAUAGUGACUUUGACUAGUUAUUUGAAAUCUGAGAACAGGACAUUAAGGUGAGUUAUCCUGUUUUCUUUCUUUUCUCCCCACUUCACCUCUAGGUGGGGGUGGGGUGUUAUUUAGGGUCAAAAUACAAAGUAGUAACAAUUAGCUGUCCUUUCAAAGAAAAUAUUAUUCAAACUUCAUUCUGAUUUAUAAAUAAGCACAUGUCACGUACGUCAGGAAUCCAUCACAUUUUACUGAGUAUUUAAAAUUUCAUUUGUUUUCGCUCUUAGUUCUUUCACAUUAGAUCCAGCAUUUGAGAUAC
rnacentral:lncRNA from 1 species